rnacentral:rRNA from 1 species
AUUGAACGCUGGCGGCAUGCCUUACACAUGCAAGUCGAGCGGCAGCAUGGAGAGCUUGCUCUCUGAUGGCGAGUGGCGAACGGGUGAGUAAUGCAUCGGAACGUACCGUGUAAUGGGGGAUAACGUAGCGAAAGUUACGCUAAUACCGCAUACGACCUGAGGGUGAAAGCAGGGGAUCGCAAGACCUUGCGUUAUACGAGCGGCCGAUGUCAGAUUAGCUAGUUGGUGAGGUAAAGGCUCACCAAGGCGACGAUCUGUAGCGGGUCUGAGAGGAUGAUACGCCACACUGGGACUGAGACACGGCCCAGACUCCUACGGGAGGCAGCAGUGGGGAAUUUUGGACAAUGGGGGCAACCCUGAUCCAGCCAUGCCGCGUGAGUGAAGAAGGCCUUCGGGUUGUAAAGCUCUUUCGGCCGGGAAGAAAUCGCACAGGCUAAUACUCUGUGUGGAUGACGGUACCAGCAUAAGAAGCACCGGCUAACUACGUGCCAGCAGCCGCCGUAA